rnacentral:tRNA from 1 species
GUAAAGUUAGUUUAAUAUAAAAUGGUAAGUUGUGGGUUUACAGAUAAAAGUUUUUUACUUUACU